UCACCCCUCAAGCCCUGUGCUUGGUGUUGGACGGCUAGGUCGAAUCAUUUCGACCCCUCCCAAAGACAAUGACGGCGGCCUGUGGUUCCCCCGGUACACUGAGCUUUUAACUGAGCACGUAUCGGACAAGGGCACCCGGGACACGGUCCUCUCCUUUAGCUAGGAAACUUCUCAA
rnacentral:misc_RNA from 1 species